AUGAAUUUACUAGCCUGGAACUGUCGAGGAUUGGGGUUGGACUCGACAGUAGGCGAACUUCGUGACCUGGUAUGGUCCCACAACCCAGCGGUGGUGUUCUUGUCGGAAACUAAGAAGAAGUCUAGAGGAAUGGAAAAGUUGAUGUGGAGUUUGGGGUUUAGGUGUGGUGUGGCUGUUGAUUGUCAAGGUCUCAGUGGUGGUUUGGCUCUUUGGUGGAGGGAUUUUGUGCAUGUAUCUGUCAGGCCUUACUGCCAAUAUUUCAUUGAUGCGGAGUUGAGGUUUGAGGAGAACACAGUUAGAUUCACUGGUUUCUACGGGGAACCGUGCACGGAGCUCAGGAAGAAAUCCUGGGAUUCUAUCAGAUACUUGAGAGCCCAGGAUAAUCUGCCAUGGAUCUGCGCGGGUGACUUCAACGAAGCUUUAUUUCAGUCGGAUCAAAUGGGGGGUAACCCAAGAAGCUUUCACCAAAUGGAGGACUUUCGAGAUUGUUUGGCUGAGUGUGGCCUUGCUGAUCUGGGCUUUUCUGGCUAUCAGUAUACAUGGGAUAACAGAAGGGAAGGGGGAGACAACAUCUAG
rnacentral:rRNA from 1 species